rnacentral:rRNA from 1 species
ACAACGACUCUCGGCAACGGAUAUCUCGGCUCUCGCAUCGAUGAAGAACGUAGCGAAAUGCGAUACUUGGUGUGAAUUGCAGAAUCCCGUGAACCAUCGAGUCUUUGAACGCAAGUUGCGCCCGAAGCCAGUAGGCCGAGGGCACGCCUGCCUGGGCGUCUCACA